rnacentral:rRNA from 1 species
AGAUUAAACUGAAGAGUUUGAUCCUGGCUCAGAUUGAACGCUAGCGGGAUGCUUUACACAUGCAAGUCGAACGGCAGCGCGAUAGGAAGCUUGCUUCUUAUUGGCGGCGAGUGGCGAACGGGUGAGUAAUAUAUCGGAACGUGCCUAGUAGCGGGGGAUAACUACGCGAAAGCGUGGCUAAUACCGCAUACGCCCUACGGGGGAAAGGGGGGGAUCGCAAGACCUCUCACUAUUAGAGCGGCCGAUAUCAGAUUAGCUAGUUGGUGGGGUAAAGGCUCACCAAGGCCACGAUCUGUAGCUGGUUUGAGAGGACGACCAGCCACACUGGGACUGAGACACGGCCCAGACUCCUACGGGAGGCAGCAGUGGGGAAUUUUGGACAAUGGGGGCAACCCUGAUCCAGCCAUCCCGCGUGUGCGAUGAAGGCCUUCGGGUUGUAAAGCACUUUUGGCAGGGAAGAAACGGCG